GAGGGUAUAGCUCAAGUGAAGGAGCGCCUGCUUAGCAUGCACAAGGUCCUGGGUUCAAUCCCCAGUACCCCCU
rnacentral:tRNA from 1 species